rnacentral:rRNA from 1 species
UACGGAGGGUGCGAGCGUUAUCCGGAUUCACUGGGUUUAAAGGGUGCGUAGGUGGGCAUGUAAGUCAGUGGUGAAAUCUCUGGGCUUAACUCAGAAACUGCCAUUGAUACUAUGUUUCUUGAAUUUUCUGGAGGUCAGCGGAAUAUGUCAUGUAGCGGUGAAAUGCUUAGAUAUGACAUAGAACACCAAUUGCGAAGGCAGCUUGCUACAGGGAUAUUGACACUGAGGCACGAAAGCGUGGGGAUCAAACAGG